UACGUAGGUGGCAAGCGUUGUCCGGAUUUAUUGGGUUUAAAGGGUGCGUAGGCGGUUCUGUAAGUCAGUGGUGAAAUCCGGCAGCUCAACUGUCGAUGUGCCAUUGAUACUGCAGAACUUGAGUACAGACGAGGUAGGCGGAAUUGACGGUGUAGCGGUGGAAUGCGUAGAGAUCGGGAGGAACACCAGUGGCGAAGGCGGCUCGCUGGACCGGUCCUGACGCUCAGGCGCGAAAGCGUGGGGAGCGAUCCGG
rnacentral:rRNA from 1 species